AUUGAACGCUGGCGGCAGGCCUAACACAUGCAAGUCGAAAGAGUGGCGGUCCGGUGAGUAAUGUAUGGGAAACUGCCCGAAGGAGGGGGAUAAAUACUGGAAACGGUAGCUAAUACCGCAUACCAUCGGGUGUGCCCCAAAGGGAUUAGAGAGUAGGGGGGGUAACGGCUCACCUAGGCGCCGAUCACUUGCUGGUCUGAGAGGAUGACCAGCCACAUUGGAACGGAGAUCUGGUACAGACGCCGUCGGGAGGCAGCAGGGGGGAAUAUUGCAACAUGGGCGCAAGCCUGAUGCAGCCAUGACGGGUGUAUGAAGAAGGUCGUCGGGUUGUAAAGUACUUUCAGCGAGGAGGCGUUACUCGCAGGAGAAGCACCGGCUAAAUCCGUGCCAGCAGCCGCGGUAAUAC
rnacentral:rRNA from 1 species